rnacentral:rRNA from 1 species
UAAUACUGGAUAGGCAAUUAUUCCUGUAAUGGUUUUUUGUUUAAAUGUUUUUUCGCCUAAGGAUGGGUCUGCGGCCGAUUAGGUAGUUGGUUAGGUAAUGGCUUACCAAGCCUUUGAUCGGUACGGGUUGUGAGAGCAAGAGCCCGGAGAUGGAACCUGAGACAAGGUUCCAGGCCCUACGGGGUGCAGCAGGCGCGAAACCUCCGCAAUGUGAGAAAUCGCGACGGGGGGAUCCCAAGUGCCAUUCUUAACGGGAUGGCUUUUCUUUAGUGUAAAAAGCUUUUGGAAUAAGAGCUGGGCAAGACCGGUGCCAGCCGCCGCGGUAACACCGGCAGCUCUAGUGGUAGCAAUUUUUAUUGGGCCUAAAGCGUCCGUAGCCGGUUUAAUAAGUCUCUGGUGAAAUCCUGUAGCUUAACUGUGGGAAUUGCUGGAGAUACUAUUAGACUUGAGACCGGGAGAGGUUAGAGGUACUCCCAGGGUAGAGGUGAAAUUCUGUAAUCCUGGGAGGACCGCCUGUUGCGAAGGCGUCUAACUGGAACGGUUCUGACGGUGAGGGACGAAAGUUAAGGGCGCGGACCGGAUUAGAUACCCGGGUAGUCCUAACUGUAAACGAUGCGGACUUGGUGUUG